GGAGCAACAACCAUAUCAAAAUCAACAGAUAGGAACCACCAAAGAAGUAGCACCACGAAACCAAAUCCAAACAAACCAAGGAGCAACAACCAUAUCAAAAUCAACAGAUAGGAACCACCAAAGAAGUAGCACCACGAAACCAAAACCAAACAAACCAAGGAGCAACAACCAUAUCAAAAUCAACAGAUAGGAACCACCAAAGAAGUAGCACCACGAAACCAAAACCAAACAAACCAAGGAGCAACAACCAUAUCAAAAUCAACAGAUAGGAACCACCAAAGAAGUAGCACCACGAAACCAAAACCAAACAAACCAAACCAAAUAGAACCAAACAAAACUAAAUCAUAUCAAACCAAACUAAACAAAGAGAGAAGCAACAAAGCAAAUCACUAGAGAGAUUAGCAAUCAAACAGAAGAAGCAACAGACAGAGCGACA
rnacentral:lncRNA from 1 species